UAAACAACUUCUACACUUUGAAACAAUGUAGAGAAGAGAGAUAGGACUUCCUGAUACAGACACACACCGUGCAUAAACUCAGCCCCUCUAGCAGUUUGCAGUCACAGUCGCCAGGUUUCGACUCUUUUUUCGCAAAUUGUUACUCAUUGGAACAACAUGAAGCUCACCGUGCUCAUCGUCCUUUUGCUCAUCGGCUCCAUUUAUGCUUGGUCACAUGUCUGCACUAAGCCCAAACAAAUUGGUAACUGCAAAGCGAGAAAGAAAGAGGUACUACUUCAACUGGAUGGAAAAUCGUUGCGAGAUAUUUUUCUACGGAGGCUGUCAUGGCAAUGCCAACAACUUCCAUACGGAAGAAUCCUGCAAGAAGACAUGCAUGUGAUUCUCGGCAGUAUGACAUCACACAAGAAAUGGAAACCAAACUUUAUAUUGAUAAUAUCUCGUACGCAGUCUCAAGAAAAUUCUGAGUUCGCUUAGUUGCCAAACGUCCUAAAAAUUGUGUACAGCGGUCUUAAAGUAUUUUUUUUUAUUCAAACUCAAAAUAAAAACGUAAAUAAUAA